rnacentral:sRNA from 1 species
GAGUGACAACCGAGUGCGCUGUCAAACUUGUGCUAAUUAAUUGUGACGAUUUCAUUUUGCCAACAACAGACGUUAAGCGAAAACAAAGGCGACAAAUGGAAAUUCUGAAAAUAUUGGGGAGUUGGGAGCUUCCAACUAAGUGAGCCCUAUUAAAUGCGACAACAUCAUCAUCAACAACAACAACAACAGCAGUAGCAGCACGACAG